rnacentral:rRNA from 1 species
GACGAACGCUGGCGGCGUGCUUAACACACGCAAGUCGAACGGUAAGGCCCUUCGGGGUACACGAGUGGCGAACGGGUGAGUAACACGUGGGUGAUCUGCCCUGCACUUCGGGAUAAGCCUGGGAAACUGGGUCUAAUACCGGAUAGGACUCCGGACUGCAUGGUCUGGGGUGGAAAGCUUUUGCGGUGUGGGAUGGGCCCGCGGCCUAUCAGCUUGUUGGUGGGGUGAUGGCCUACCAAGGCGACGACGGGUAGCCGGCCUGAGAGAGUGACCGGGCACACUGGGACUGAGAUACGGCCCGGACUCCUACGGGAGGCAGCAGUGGGGAAUAUUGCACAAUGGGCGCAAGCCUGAUGCAGCGACGCCGCGUGAGGGAUGACGGCCUUCGGGUUGUAAACCUCUUUCAGCACCGACGAAGCGCAAGUGACGGUAGGUGCAGAAGAAGGACCGGCCAACUACGUGCCAGCCGCCGCCGUAA